AUUGAACGCUGGCGGCAGGCCUAACACAUGCAAGUCGAGCGAGCGGCGGACGGGUGAGUAAUGUCUGGGAAACUGCCUGAUGGAGGGGGAUAACUACUGGAAACGGUAGCUAAUACCGCAUACCAUCAGAUGUGCCCAGAUGGGAUUAGCUAGUAGGUGGGGUAAUGGCUAACCUAGGCAAAGAACCAUAGCUGGUCUGAGAGGAUGACCAGCCACACUGGAACUGAGACACGGGCCAGACUCCUACGGGAGGCAGCAGUGGGGAAUAUUGCACAAGGGGCGCAAGCCUGAUGCAGCCAUGCCGCGUGUAUGAAGAAGGCCUUCGGGUUGUAAAGUACUUUCAGCGGGGAGGCGUUACCCGCAGAAGAAGCACCGGCUAACUCCGUGCCAGCAGCCGCGGUAAUUC
rnacentral:rRNA from 1 species